UGGGUUCAGAACGUCGUGAGACAGUUCGGUCCCUAUCUGCCGUGGGCGUUGGAUGAUUGAAGGGAGCUGCUCCUAGUACGAGAGGACCGGAGUGGACGAACCGCUGGUGUUCGGGUUGUGUUGCCAAAUGCAUUGCCCGGUAGCUACGUUCGGAAUCGAUAACCGCUGAAAGCAUCUAAGCGGGAAGCGAGCCCUGAGAUGAGUCAUCCCUAGGACUUUAAGUCCUCUAAAGAGCCGUCCGAGACCAGGACGUUGAUAGGCAGGGUGUGUAAGCGUUGUGAGGCGUUGAGCUAACCUGUACUAAUGACUCGUGAGGCUUAACCAUACAACCCUAAUGGGUUUUAUA
rnacentral:rRNA from 2 species